ACUCCCGUUCCCUCUCCGUAUUUUCAUUUCGUAGCCAUGCAAUUUACUCUCUUUAAAAGGUUCAUAAACGCCCCUUUUAUUCUUUUGCCUUUUAGUUUACGAUAGCUAGAUAACCAACCAGCAUAUCUUUGGGAUACUGGAGUUAACUGGAGCAUCUAGAAAAUCCGCAAGCUGACACACGGAGAACUCGCCAAUUCCUCGGCCAAGUCUGGAGUGGAGCGCGAAGGCAGCUCCGCAACAGCGGAACAUCUGCUACCGCGCCCCUGCAAGUGCUAUCUCUUCAGAUGCCAAAACUGCUUAUUUGCUCCCCUGGAGUAAAGCUAGAAGCCUUGACCUACUAACUAUGAGUUUUCCUGUGAUGGUGCCUGUCAGAAUGAGGGGGCACAUGAGUCGAUGACUCUGGCUAAUUCCUUAAGCACUACGUGACAAUGAUGUACUCAUCAGAUUGGAAGAUCUCAUCGAGGGUGAGACUU